UAUAGGGAGACCUACCCCCUCAAAGCCGGAAGCAAAAAGCGAAUAGGCUAAGAGAAAGGUUAACCCAAGGUCGGUCGAGAGGUUGAUGUAGGCUUUCAAACUACCAGGUUUAGAGAUGGGCUAUUAGCUCAGGUGGUUAGAGCGCACCCCUGAUAAGGGUGAGGUCCCUGGUUCGAGUCCAGGAUGGCCCACCACAAAAUCAUGGGGGGGUUUAGCUCAGUUGGUAGAGCGCCUGCUUUGCAAGCAGGAUGUCAGCGGUUCGAGUCCGCUAACCUCCACUGAGAGCGAAUAACUCGAGAAAGUUUGAACCAAUAGAUUCAGCACCUCAACUGACUUUGGGAGACCAGAGUAGCGAGAAUGCUGGAACUAUUCCAGCAAGGAGCCUUGAAAACUGCAUAGAAACUUGUCAGGUAGGAAGUGUGAGCGGAUGUUAGUUCGCUCAUGAAUCUCAUAGACACCAAUGUGACAUUGUAAAGU
rnacentral:tRNA from 1 species